GACGAACGCUGGCGGCGUGCUUAACACAUGCAAGUCGAACGGAAAGGCCCUGCUUUUGUGGGGUGCUCGAGUGGCGAACGGGUGAGUAACACGUGAGUAACCUGCCCUUGACUGUGGGAUAACUUCAGGAAACUGGGGCUAAUACCGGAUAGGAGCUCCUGCUGCAUGGUGGGGGUUGGAAAGUUUCGGCGGUUGGGGAUGGACUCGCGGCUUAUCAGCUUGUUGGUGGGGUAGUGGCUUACCAAGGCUUUGACGGGUAGCCGGCCUGAGAGGGUGACCGGCCACAUUGGGACUGAGAUACGGCCCAGACUCCUACGGGAGGCAGCAGUGGGGAAUAUUGCACAAUGGGCGGACGCCUGAUGCAGCAACGCCGCGUGCGGGAUGACGGCCUUCGGGUUGUAAACCGCUUUCGCCUGUGACGAAGCGUGAGUGACGGUAAUGGGUAAAGAAGCACCGGCUAACUACGUG
rnacentral:rRNA from 1 species